AUACGGAAGGGGCGAGCGUUGUUCGGAAUCAUUGGGCGUAAAGGGUGCGUAGGCGGUUGUGUAAGUCUGAUGUAAAAGCCCGCAGCUUAACUGCGGAGAUGCAUUGGAAACUGCAUAACUAGAGUAGAUGAGGGGAAACUGGAAUUUCUAGUGUAGGGGUGAAAUCUGUAGAUAUUAGGAAGAACACCAAUGGCGAAGGCAAGUUUCUGGCAUCAAACUGACGCUGAGGCACGAAAGCGUGGGUAGCAAACAGGAUUAGAUACCCUGGUAGUCCACGCUGUAAACGAUGUACACUAGUUGUUGGGGUAAAACUCGGUGACGAAGCUAACGCAUUAAGUGUACCGCCUGGGGAGUAUGCUCGCAAGGGUGAAACUCAAAUGAAUUGGCGGG
rnacentral:rRNA from 1 species